UUAAGUUAUUAAGGGCGCACGGUGGAUGCCUUGGCACUAGAAGCCGAUGAAGGACGUUACUAACGACGAUAUGCUUUGGGGAGCUGUAAGUAAGCUUUGAUCCAGAGAUUUCCGAAUGGGGAAACCCAACAUGAGUUAUGUCAUGUUAUCGAUAUGUGAAUACAUAGCAUAUCAGAAGGCACACCCGGAGAACUGAAACAUCUUAGUACCCGGAGGAAGAGAAAGAAAAUUCGAUUCCCUUAGUAGCGGCGAGCGAAACGGGAAGAGCCCAAACCAACAAGCUUGCUUGUUGGGGUUGUAGGACACUCUAUACGGAGUUACAAAGGACGACAUUAGACGAAUCAUCUGGAAAGAUGAAUCAAAGAAGGUAAUAAUCCUGUAGUCGAAAAUGUUGUCUCUCUUGAGUGGAUCCUGAGUACGACGGAGCACGUGAAAUUCCGUCGGAAUCUGGGAGGACCAUCUCCUAAGGCUAAAUACUCUCUAGUGACCGAUAGUGAACCAGUACCGUGAGGGAAAGGUGAAAAGCACCCCGGAAGGGGAGUGAAAUAGAACCUGAAACCGUGUGCUUACAAGUAGUCAGAGCCCGUUAAUGGGUGAUGGCGUGCCUUUUGUAGAAUGAACCGGCGAGUUACGAUUUGAUGCAAGGUUAAGCAGUAAAUGUGGAGCCGUAGCGAAAGCGAGUCUGAAUAGGGCGUUUAGUAUUUGGUCGUAGACCCGAAACCAGGUGAUCUACCCUUGGUCAGGUUGAAGUUCAGGUAACACUGAAUGGAGGACCGAACCGACUUACGUUGAAAAGUGAGCGGAUGAACUGAGGGUAGCGGAGAAAUUCCAAUCGAACCUGGAGAUAGCUGGUUCUCUCCGAAAUAGCUUUAGGGCUAGCCUCAAGUGAUGAUUAUUGGAGGUAGAGCACUGUUUGGACGAGGGGCCCCUCUCGGGUUACCGAAUUCAGACAAACUCCGAAUGCCAAUUAAUUUAACUUGGGAGUCAGAACAUGGGUGAUAAGGUCCGUGUUCGAAAGGGAAACAGCCCAGACCACCAGCUAAGGUCCCAAAAUAUAUGUUAAGUGGAAAAGGAUGUGGCGUUGCCCAGACAACUAGGAUGUUGGCUUAGAAGCAGCCAUCAUUUAAAGAGUGCGUAAUAGCUCACUAGUCGAGUGACACUGCGCCGAAAAUGUACCGGGGCUAAACAUAUUACCGAAGCUGUGGAUUGUCCUUUGGACAAUGGUAGGAGAGCGUUCUAAGGGCGUUGAAGCAUGAUCGUAAGGACAUGUGGAGCGCUUAGAAGUGAGAAUGCCGGUGUGAGUAGCGAAAGACGGGUGAGAAUCCCGUCCACCGAUUGACUAAGGUUUCCAGAGGAAGGCUCGUCCGCUCUGGGUUAGUCGGGUCCUAAGCUGAGGCCGACAGGCGUAGGCGAUGGAUAACAGGUUGAUAUUCCUGUACCACCUAUAAUCGUUUUAAUCGAUGGGGGGACGCAGUAGGAUAGGCGAAGCGUGCGAUUGGAUUGCACGUCUAAGCAGUAAGGCUGAGUAUUAGGCAAAUCCGGUACUCGUUAAGGCUGAGCUGUGAUGGGGAGAAGACAUUGUGUCUUCGAGUCGUUGAUUUCACACUGCCGAGAAAAGCCUCUAGAUAGAAAAUAGGUGCCCGUACCGCAAACCGACACAGGUAGUCAAGAUGAGAAUUCUAAGGUGAGCGAGCGAACUCUCGUUAAGGAACUCGGCAAAAUGACCCCGUAACUUCGGGAGAAGGGGUGCUCUUUAGGGUUAACGCCCAGAAGAGCCGCAGUGAAUAGGCCCAAGCGACUGUUUAUCAAAAACACAGGUCUCUGCUAAACCGUAAGGUGAUGUAUAGGGGCUGACGCCUGCCCGGUGCUGGAAGGUUAAGAGGAGUGGUUAGCUUCUGCGAAGCUACGAAUCGAAGCCCCAGUAAACGGCGGCCGUAACUAUAACGGUCCUAAGGUAGCGAAAUUCCUUGUCGGGUAAGUUCCGACCCGCACGAAAGGCGUAACGAUUUGGGCACUGUCUCAACGAGAGACUCGGUGAAAUCAUAGUACCUGUGAAGAUGCAGGUUACCCGCGACAGGACGGAAAGACCCCGUGGAGCUUUACUGUAGCCUGAUAUUGAAAUUCGGCACAGCUUGUACAGGAUAGGUAGGAGCCUUUGAAACGUGAGCGCUAGCUUACGUGGAGGCGCUGGUGGGAUACUACCCUAGCUGUGUUGGCUUUCUAACCCGCACCACUUAUCGUGGUGGGAGACAGUGUCAGGCGGGCAGUUUGACUGGGGCGGUCGCCUCCUAAAAGGUAACGGAGGCGCUCAAAGGUUCCCUCAGAAUGGUUGGAAAUCAUUCAUAGAGUGUAAAGGCAUAAGGGAGCUUGACUGCGAGACCUACAAGUCGAGCAGGGUCGAAAGACGGACUUAGUGAUCCGGUGGUUCCGCAUGGAAGGGCCAUCGCUCAACGGAUAAAAGCUACCCCGGGGAUAACAGGCUUAUCUCCCCCAAGAGUUCACAUCGACGGGGAGGUUUGGCACCUCGAUGUCGGCUCAUCGCAUCCUGGGGCUGUAGUCGGUCCCAAGGGUUGGGCUGUUCGCCCAUUAAAGCGGUACGCGAGCUGGGUUCAGAACGUCGUGAGACAGUUCGGUCCCUAUCCGUCGUGGGCGUAGGAAAUUUGAGAGGAGCUGUCCUUAGUACGAGAGGACCGGGAUGGACAUACCUCUGGUGUACCAGUUGUCGUGCCAACGGCAUAGCUGGGUAGCUAUGUGUGGACGGGAUAAGUGCUGAAAGCAUCUAAGCAUGAAGCCCCCCUCAAGAUGAGAUUUCCUAACUUCGGUUAUAAGAUCCCUCAAAGAUGAUGAGGUUAAUAGGUUCGAGGUGGAAGCAUGGUGACAUGUGGAGCUGACGAAUACUAAUCGAUCGAAGACUUAAUCAA
rnacentral:rRNA from 1 species